rnacentral:rRNA from 1 species
UACGGGGGGAGCAAGCGUUGUUCGGAUUUACUGGGCGUAAAGGGCGCGUAGGCGGCGUGGUAAGUCACUUGUGAAAUCUCCGGGCUUAACUCGGAACGGUCAAGUGAUACUGCUGCGCUAGAGUGCGGAAGGGGCAAUCGGAAUUCUUGGUGUAGCGGUGAAAUGCGUAGAUAUCAAGAGGAACACCUGAGGUGAAGACGGGUUGCUGGGCCGACACUGACGCUGACAGCGCGAAAGCCAGGGGAGCAAACGGG